rnacentral:rRNA from 1 species
GACGAACGCUGGCGGCGUGCCUAAUACAUGCGAGUAGAACGCACAGGAUGCACCGUAGUUUACUACACCGUAUUCUGUGAGUUGCGAACGGGUGAGUAACGCGUAGGUAACCUGCCUGGUAGCGGGGGAUAACUAUUGGAAACGAUAGCUAAUACCGCAUAAGAACAUUUACUGCAUGGUAGAUGUUUAAAAGGUGCAAAUGCAUCACUACCAGAUGGACCUGCGUUGUAUUAGCUAGUAGGUGAGGUAACGGCUCACCUAGGCGACGAUACAUAGCCGACCUGAGAGGGUGAUCGGCCACACUGGGACUGAGACACGGCCCAGACUCCUACGGGAGGCAGCAGUAGGGAAUCUUCGGCAAUGGGGGGAACCCUGACCGAGCAACGCCGCGUGAGUGAAGAAGGUUUUCGGAUCGUAAAGCUCUGUUGUUAAGGAAGAACGAGUGUGAGAAUGGAAAGUUCAUACUGUGACGGUACUUAACCAGAAAGGGACGGCUAACUACGUGCCAGCAGCCGCGGUAAUACGUAGGUCCCGAGCGUUGUCCGGAUUUAUUGGGCGUAAAGCGAGCGCAGGCGGUUAGAUAAGUCUGAAGUUAAAGGCAGUGGCUCAACCAUUGUAGGCUUUGGAAACUGUUUAACUUGAGUGCAGAAGGGGAGAGUGGAAUUCCAUGUGUAGCGGUGAAAUGCGUAGAUAUAUGGAGGAACACCGGUGGCGAAAGCGGCUCUCUGGUCUGUAACUGACGCUGAGGCUCGAAAGCGUGGGGAGCGAACAGG